rnacentral:rRNA from 1 species
AUUGAACGCUGGCGGCAUGCCUUACACAUGCAAGUCGAACGGCAGCAUGGGUGCUUGCACCUGAUGGCGAGUGGCGAACGGGUGAGUAAUGCAUCGGAACGUACCCGGAAGUGGGGGAUAACGUAGCGAAAGUUACGCUAAUACCGCAUAUUCUGUGAGCAGGAAAGCGGGGGAGUCGCAAGACCUCGCGCUUCCGGAGCGGCCGAUGUCGGAUUAGCUAGUUGGCGGGGUAAAGGGCCCACCAAGGCAACGAUCCGUAGCGGGUCUGAGAGGAUGAUCCGCCACACUGGGACUGAGACACGGCCCAGACUCCUACGGGAGGCAGCAGUGGGGGAAUUUUGGACAAUGGGGGCAACCCUGAUCCAGCCAUGCCGCGUGAGUGAAGAAGGCC